rnacentral:rRNA from 1 species
GACGAACCGUGCGAACGUUGUUCGGAAUCACUGGGCUUAAAGGGCGCGUAGGCGGGCUCGCAAGUCCGGGGUGAAAGCCCCCAGCUCAACUGGGGAAGUGCCUUGGAUACUGCGGGCCUCGAGGGAGGUAGGGGCGUGCGGAACUUCCGGUGGAGCGGUGAAAUGCGUAGAUAUCGGAAGGAACGCCGGUGGCGAAAGCGGCGCGCUGGACCUCUUCUGACGCUGAGGCGCGAAAGCCAGGGGAGCAAACGGG